GUCUAUGGCCAUGCUACCCUAAACAAGCCUGAUCCCGUCUGAUCUCGGAAGCUAAGCAGGGUUGAGAAUGGUUAGUACUUGGAUGGGAGACCACCUAGGAAGACCAGGUGCUGUAAGUG
rnacentral:rRNA from 1 species